rnacentral:rRNA from 1 species
GUACGGUGAAACUGCGAAUGGCUCAUUAAAUCAGUUUUGGUUCAUUUGAUCGUAAACAUUUACAUGGAUAACUGUUGUAAUUCAAGAGCUAAUACAUGCUAAAAGUGAGAGUCUUUGAUUCUCAUGCUUUUAUCAGAUCAAAACCUUUCGUCUUCGGGCGUUAUCGUUGUGGCGAGUCUGGAUAAUUUUAGCUGAUCGCAUGGUCUCGAACCGGCGAUGGAUCAUUCAAGUGUCUGACCUAUCAACUUUCGAUGGUAGCGUAUUGGUCUACCAUGGUUGUAACGGGUAACGGAGAAUUAGGGUU